rnacentral:rRNA from 1 species
AGCUAUAGCUGUGCUACCCUGACAAGCUCAAUCCCGUCUGAUCUCAUAAGUAAGGUCAGGCUGGUUAGUACUUGGAUGAAAGACUACCUACGAAGACCAGGUGCUGUAGUGU